rnacentral:rRNA from 1 species
AAUAGAUACCCCGGUAGUCCACGCCGUAAACGAUGAGUGCUAAGUGUUAGAGGGUUUCCGCCCUUUAGUGCUGAAGUUAACGCAUUAAGCACUCCGCCUGGGGAGUACGGUCGCAAGACUGAAACUCAAAGGAAUUGACGGGGGCCCGCACAAGCGGUGGAGCAUGUGGUUUAAUUCGAAGCAACGCGAAGAACCUUACCAGGUCUUGACAUCCUCUGACAACCCUAGAGAUAGGGCUUUCCCUUCGGGGACAGAGUGACAGGUGGUGCAUGGUUGUCGUCAGCUCGUGUCGUGAGAUGUUGGGUUAAGUCCCGCAACGAGCGCAACCCUUGAUCUUAGUUGCCAGCAUUCAGUUGGGCACUCUAAGGUGACUGCCGGUGACAAACCGGAGGAAGGUGGGGAUGACGUCAAAUCAUCAUGCCCCUUAUGACCUGGGCUACACACGUGCUACAAUGGACGGUACAAAGAGUCGCAAGACCGCGAGGUGGAGCUAAUCUCAUAAAACCGUUCUCAGUUCGGAUUGUAGGCUGC